CGGGAGGCAGCAGUGGGGAAUAUUGCACAAUGGGCGCAAGCCUGAUGCAGCCAUGCCGCGUGUGUGAAGAAGGCCUUCGGGUUGUAAAGCACUUUCAGUUGUGAGGAAGGUGGUGUCGUUAAUAGCGGCAUCAUUUGACGUUAGCAACAGAAGAAGCACCGGCUAACUCCGUGCCAGCAGCCGCGGUAAUACGGAGGGUGCGAGCGUUAAUCGGAAUUACUGGGCGUAAAGCGCAUGCAGGUGGUUUGUUAAGUCAGAUGUGAAAGCCCGGGGCUCAACCUCGGAACUGCAUUUGAAACUGGCAGACUAGAGUACUGUAGAGGGGGUAGAAUUUCAGGUGUAGCGGUGAAAUGCGUAGAGAUCUGAAGGAAUACCGGUGGCGAAGGCGGCCCCCUGGACAGAUACUGACACUCAGAUGCGAAAGCGUGGGGAGCAAACAGGAUUAGAUACCCUGGUAG
rnacentral:rRNA from 1 species